CAGCCGCCGCGGUAAUACAGAGGGUGCAAGCGUUAAUCGGAAUUACUGGGCGUAAAGCGCGCGUAGGUGGUUCGCCAAGUUGGAUGUGAAAUCCCCGGGCUCAACCUGGGAACUGCAUCCAAAACUGGCGAGCUAGAGUAUGGUAGAGGGUGGUGGAAUUUCCUGUGUAGCGGUGAAAUGCGUAGAUAUAGGAAGGAACAUCAGUGGCGAAGGCGACCACCUGGACUGAUACUGACACUGAGGUGCGAAAGCGUGGGGAGCAAACAGGAUUAGAUACCCGUGUAGUCCCUGUCUCUUAUAC
rnacentral:rRNA from 1 species